ACAUAGGAGGAGAGAGAGAGAUGAACAACAUAGGAGGAGAGAGAGAGAUGAACAACAUAGGAGAGAGAGAGAUGAACAACAUAGGAGGAGAGAGAGAGGUGAACAACAUAGGAGGAGAGAGAGAGAUGAACAACAUAGGAGGAGAGAGAGAGAGAUGAACAACAUAGGAGGAGAGAGAGAGAUGAACAACAUAGGAGGAGAGAGAGAGAUGAACAACAUAGGAGGAGAGAGAGAUGAACAACAUAGGAGGAGAGAGAGAUGAACAACAUAGGAGGAGAGAGAGAGAUGAACAACAUAGGAGGAGAGAGAGAUGAACAACAUAGGAGGAGAGAGAGAUGAACAACAUAGGAGGAGAGAGAGAUGAACAACAUAGGAGGAGAGAGAGAUGAACAACAUAGGAGGAGAGAGAGAGAUGAACAACAUAGGAGGAGAGAGAGGUGAACAACAUAGGAGGAGAGAGAGAUGAACAACAUAGGAGGAGAGAGAGAGGUGAACAACAUAGGAGGAGAGAGAGAGAUGAACAACAUAGGAGGAGAGAGAGAGGUGAACAACAUAGGAGGAGAGAGAGAGAGGUGAACAACAUAGGAGGAGAGAGAGGGCAAGGUAAAAGAGAGGUAGUUGACUUCAUUGAUCAACAGAAAUGUGCCUUCUGCUUAUCCCACAGAAACAAACACAGGUAAAAGAGGCUGGAGCAGAGGGGAGGAGCAGUAACCAAUUUUAGAGGUUAAUGGUCUUGCUCAAGGGCACAAUGGCAGGCAGGAUAAGGCAUGUAGCUGUCAGCCCACUUCCUGCAGCUGCUGGUCCAUCUCUCUCUAACCUCUAGGAGAUCUCCAGCUGCAUCUCUCUCUAACCUCUAGGAGAUCUCCAGCUAAUGGUCCAUCUCUCUCUAACCUCUAGGAGACCUCCAGCUGCUGGUCCAUCUCUCUCUAACCUCUAGGAGACCUCCAGCUACUGGUCCAUCUCUCUCUAACCUCUAGGAGACCUCCAGCUAAUGGUCCAUCUCUCUCUAACCUCUAGGAGAUCUCCAGCUGCAUCUCUCUCUAACCUCUAGGAGAUCUCCAGCUGCUGGUCCAUCUCUCUCUAACCUCUAGGAGACCUCCAGCUGCUGG